rnacentral:rRNA from 1 species
UACGGAGGGAGCUAGCGUUAUUCGGAAUUACUGGGCGUAAAGCGCACGUAGGCGGCUUUGUAAGUUAGAGGUGAAAGCCUGGAGCUCAACUCCAGAAUUGCCUUUAAGACUGCAUCGCUUGAAUCCAGGAGAGGUGAGUGGAAUUCCGAGUGUAGAGGUGAAAUUCGUAGAUAUUGGGAAGAACACCGGUGGCGAAGGCGGCUCACUGGCUCAUUACUGACGCUCAGGCGCGAUAGCGUGGGGAUCAAACAGG